rnacentral:rRNA from 1 species
AGUUUGAUCCUGGCUCAGGAUGAACGCUAGCUACAGGCUUAACACAUGCAAGUCGAGGGGCAGCGGUAUCGAAAGCUUGCUUUCGGUAGCCGGCGACCGGCGCACGGGUGAGUAACGCGUAUCGAACCUGCCUCAUACUCGGGAAUAGCCUUGCGAAAGUAAGAUUAAUGCCCGGUGUUUUCAGAGUCCCGCAUGAGGCUUUGAACAAAGAUUUAUCGGUAUGAGAUGGCGAUGCGUCCCAUUAGCUUGUUGGCGGGGUAACGGCCCACCAAGGCAUCGAUGGGUAGGGGUUCUGAGAGGAAGGUCCCCCACAUUGGAACUGAGACACGGUCCAAACUCCUACGGGAGGCAGCAGUGAGGAAUAUUGGUCAAUGGGCGGAAGCCUGAACCAGCCAAGUAGCGUGCAGGAAGACGGCCCUCCGGGUUGUAAACUGCUUUUAGUUGGGAAUAAAACGGGGCUCGUGAGCCCCCUUGCAUGUACCAUCAGAAAAAGGACCGGCUAAUUCCGUGCCAGCAGCCGCGGUAAUACGGAAGGUCCGGGCGUUAUCCGGAUUUAUUGGGUUUAAAGGGAGCGCAGGCGGACCUUUAAGUCAGCUGUGAAAUACGGCGGCUCAACCGUCGAACUGCAGUUGAUACUGGAGGUCUUGAGUGCACACAGGGAUGCUGGAAUUCAUGGUGUAGCGGUGAAAUGCUCAGAUAUCAUGAAGAACUCCGAUCGCGAAGGCAGGCAUCCGGGGUGCAACUGACGCUGAGGCUCGAAAGUGCGGGUAUCAAACAGGAUUAGAUACCCUGGUAGUCCGCACAGUAAACGAUGAAUACUCGCGGUUUGCGAUACAAUGUAAGCCGCCAAGCGAAAGCGUUAAGUAUUCCACCUGGGGAGUACGCCGGCAACGGUGAAACUCAAAGGAAUUGACGG